rnacentral:rRNA from 1 species
GGAGGGUGCAAGCGUUAAUCGGAAUUACUGGGCGUAAAGCGCACGCAGGCGGUUUGUUAAGUCAGAUGUGAAAUCCCCAGGCUCAACCUGGGAACUGCAUCUGAUACUGGCAAGCUUGAGUCUCGUAGAGGGGGGUAGAAUUCCAGGUGUAGCGGUGAAAUGCGUAGAGAUCUGGAGGAAUACCGGUGGCGAAGGCGGCCCCCUGGACGAAGACUGACGCUCAGGUGCGAAAGCGUGGGGAGCAAACAGGAUUAGAUACCCUGGUAGUCCACGCCGUAAACGAUGUCGACUUGGAGGUUGUGCCCUUGAGGCGUGGCUUCCGGAGCUAACGCGUUAAGUCGACCGCCUGGGGAGUACGGCCGCAAGGUUA